rnacentral:rRNA from 1 species
CAAUAGCGUAUAUUAAAGUUGUUGCAGUUAAAAAGCUCGUAGUUGGAUUUGUGGCUGUCACGGGCGGCCUAUCACUUAGUGUUAGUGCUUGCCUGUGUCGCCAUCCUUGGGUGGAGCCCGUGUGGCAUUAGGUUGUCGUGCGGGGGAUGCCCAUCGUUUACUGUGAGAAAAUUAGAGUGUUCAAAGCAGGCUUAUGCCAUUGAAUAUGUUAGCAUGGAAUAAUAAGAUAGGACCUCGGUACUAUUUUGUUGGUUUGCGCACCGAGGUAAUGAUUAAUAGGGACAGUUGGGGGUAUUCGUAUUUCAUUGUCAGAGGUGAAAUUCUUGGAUUUCUGAAAGACGAACUACUGCGAAAGCAUUUACCAAGGAUGUUUUCAUUAAG